AUUGAACGCUAGCGGGAUGCCUUACACAUGCAAGUCGAACGGCAGCACGGACUUCGGUCUGGUGGCGAGUGGCGAACGGGUGAGUAAUGUAUCGGAACGUGCCCAGUAGCGGGGGAUAACUACGCGAAAGCGUAGCUAAUACCGCAUACGCCCUACGGGGGAAAGCAGGGGAUCGCAAGACCUUGCACUAUUUGAGCGGCCGAUAUCGGAUUAGCUAGGUGGUGGGGUAACGGCUCACCAAGGCGACGAUCCGUAGCUGGUUUGAGAGGACGACCAGCGAACCUUGGACCGAGACACUGCCCAGACUCCUACGGGAGGCAGCAGUUGGGAAGUUUGGACAAUGGGGGAAACCCUGAUCCAGCCAUCCCGCGUGUGCGAUGAAGGCCUUCGGGUUGUAAAGCACUUUUGGCAGGAAAGAAACGUCAUGGGUUAAUACCCCGUGAAACUGACGGUACCUGCAGAAUAAGCACCGGCUAACUACGUGCCAGCCGCCGCAGUAACAC
rnacentral:rRNA from 1 species